CCGAUGUGACCACAGCAGUCAGCAGUGCUCAGCCAGCUGCCAGGGGCUUCCGGUUUCUGUUUCUCAGCAGAACCAAGUCUCCUAGCAAAGCCAUGCCCCGGAAAUUCAGCUUGCUUUGCAAGAAAAUGUUAUUAUAUACUGGAUGUCUGAGAGGUCUACCCACAGCUUCUGGAUGCUCAGAGCCUCUUCCUUCCCUGAGCCAGCUGCUGGAACAGCCCAUUCUCCUGUUCUUUGAUGCUGGAGAGCUCUUCUGCCUUUGAUAAACAGACACAUGAGGCUGGAAAAAAAAACUCGCCCACCUAAUCAAACACAAUAAACUGUGCACAUCACUGUGUUCAGAUCGGAAGCAUUUAAUGAAUGCUAUAUAUCUUAUUUCAGUGGGUUUAUUGUUCUAACACCAGGCCAUAUUCAUCAGUGGAUCACUCUACAAAUUAUUAAAUCUCAUCAAGGAAGCGUCUCCACUCUUGGUUUUCCUUGGCAGGAAUAAAUUCAUU